rnacentral:misc_RNA from 1 species
GAUGAAGAACGCAGCGAAAUGCGAUAAGUAAUGUGAAUUGCAGAAUUCAGUGAAUCAUCGAAUCUUUGAACGCACAUUGCGCUCCCUGGUAUUCCGGGGAGCAUGCCUGUUCGAGCGUCAUUACAACCCUCAAGCACGGCUUGUGUGUUGGGCCUCCGUCCUCCUCCCGGGGGACGGGCCCGAAAGGCAGCGGCGGCACCGCGUCCGGUCCUCGAGCGUAUGGGGCUUCGUCACCCGCUCUUGUAGGCCCGGCCGGCGCUUGCCGACACAUCAAUCUUUUUUCCAGGUUGACCUCGGAUCAGGUAGGGAUACCCGCUGAACUUAAGCAUAUCAAUAAGCGGAGGA